AGAGUUUGAUCCUGGCUCAGAACGAACGCUGGCGGCAGGCCUAACACAUGCAAGUCGAGCGCACUCUUCGGAGUGAGCGGCGGACGGGUUAGUAACGCGUGGGAAUAUGCCCAAAGGUAGGGAAUAGCCUCUGGAAACGGAGAGUAAUACCGUAUGUGCCCUUCGGGGGAAAGAUUUAUCGCCUUUGGAUUAGCCCGCGCUGGAUUAGGUAGUUGGUGGGGUAAUGGCCUACCAAGCCUACGAUCCAUAGCUGGUUUGAGAGGAUGAUCAGCAACACUGGGACUGAGACACUGCCCAGACUCCUACGGGAGGCAGCAGUGGGGAAUCUUAGACAAUGGGCGCAAGCCUGAUCUAGCCAUGCCGCGUGAGUGACGAACGCCCUAGGGUCGUGAAGCUCUUUCGCCAGGGAUGAUAAUGACAGUACCUGGUAAAGAAACCCCGGCUAACUCCGUGCCAGCAGCCGCGGUAAUACGGAGGGGGUUAGCGUUGUUCGGAAUUACUGGGCGUAAAGCGUACGUAGGCGGAUUAGUCAGUCAGAGGUGAAAUCCCAGGGCUCAACCCUGGAACUGCCUUUGAUACUGCUAGUCUUGAGUUCGAGAGAGGUGAGUGGAAUUCCGAGUGUAGAGGUGAAAUUCGUAGAUAUUCGGAGGAACACCAGUGGCGAAGGCGGCUCACUGGCUCGAUACUGACGCUGAGGUACGAAAGUGUGGGGAGCAAACAGGAUUAGAUACCCUGGUAGUCCACACCGUAAACGAUGAAUGCCAGACGUCGGGGGGCUUGCCCUUCGGUGUCACACCUAACGGAUUAAGCAUUCCGCCUGGGGAGUACGGUCGCAAGAUUAAAACUCAAAGGAAUUGACGGGGGCCCGCACAAACGGUGGAGCAUGUGGUUUAAUUCGAAGCAACGCGCAGAACCUUACCAACCCUUGACAUCCUGAUCGCGGUUUCCGGAGACGGUUUCCUUCAUUUCCGCUGGAUUAAUUUCAAGGGGCUUCAUGGGAGUCGUCAGCUCCCGUCCUGAAAAAUUUGGUUAAAUCCCGCAACGAGGGCAACCCCCCCUUUUUGUUGCCCUCAGGUUUGGUGGGCGCCCCUAA
rnacentral:rRNA from 1 species